AUUGAACGCUGGCGGCAGGCUUAACACAUGCAAGUCGAGCGAGCGGCGGACGGGUGAGUAAUGUCUGGGAAACUGCCUGAUGGAGGGGGAUGACUACUGGAAACGGUAGCUAAUACCGCAUACCAUCAGAUGUGCCCAGAUGGGAUUAGCUAGUAGGUGGGGUAAUGGCUCACCUAGGCGACGAUCCCUAGCUGGUCUGAGAGGAUGACCGGCCACACUGGAACUGAGACACGGCCCAGACUCCUACGGGAGGAAGCAGUGGGGAAUAGUCGGAAAUGGGCGCAAGCCUGAUGGAGCAACGCCGCGUGUGUGAAGAAGGCCUUCGGGUUGUAAAGCACUGUCAGCGGGGAGGCGUUACUCAAAGAAAAAGCACCGGCUAACUCCGUGCCAGCCGCCGCGGUAAUUC
rnacentral:rRNA from 1 species